UCGAGGUGCUGGAGCCAAUUGUACCUUCAGAGACUAUUUGAAAUGUCAUUUUUGUCUCGGUACGAUGAUCAUCACGCUGCAGUACUAAAUUAAUGAUCGGGAAAGUUUCCAGUAUGAAUCCCUUAAGCACAGAGUACUGUUGUUUCUUAAAGGCCUUGAAAGAUGGAGGAUAAAGAGGAAGACAUGGGACUAUUGAGUGGGGAGGAUUUCAAUGAAGUCGAGCCGGACAAGGACUGUACCAGAUUUGAUGCAUUGACAGAGGCUUGCUCUGCCAUGUUUUAAAAGCUCAAAAAAGAGAAGGGAAAAAAAAGGGCAACAGAAAAUUGGAGAAGCCAGUUGUAGCUCUUGAGAAGAAACAGCCUAUUGAAACCGGAACAGGAGGUUAAAGCUCGAACGUUCUUCAGGUCUCAAGAAAACCGAGGAAUCAGCCGAAGAAGGCUAAACCUUCCUCCUCCAAUGCCCAAGAGGAACAUAAUCCAUUUCCAAGGUUCCUGGGACAUCUGGUCAGAAAGAGAGUGGUCACCUGGUCGAGGAACCAGGCAAAGAUGGAUAUAGAAAAGGACCAACACCAGGGUGUCCUGCUCCAAGGUCUGAGGGAUCAUUCCUGACAUGCCUCUCGGACUCAUGGCUCACAUGAAAGUUCAUCUUUGAGUAGAGCCUCUAUGAAAGCGACGCAACUGAUAACGAUAAUGGCUCCCGAUUCCAAGGAAGCGGGUCAGGGAGUUGUCCUUGUUCCUGACGACGAGGAGGAUCUGAGGUCACAACAGCAUAAGGGACAACAAGCGCAAGGAGGAGAUCAUAGUGACCCUGGUCGACCCAGUAUUCUUGACAGCCCAUCUUUGUCUCAGUAGACUCUUUCAGUGGCAUGUUUCGGCCCUCUUCUCCAUUACUUAGAAAAAGUGAGCCACCGAUUCAGUUGAAUUCCUCGUCGUUGAAAGAGUGCCCAAUAAGCUUUAGGAGGGGGGACACGCCGAAGCCGAACAAGCCUGCAUCUGUGAACUUCAUUCUGGCAGGUUCAUGGUAUAAAAUGGCGAGGCCAUAAUCUAAAUUUCGCCUCGACAGUCUUGAUCAGGCAGACCCCGGCAAAUUGGUUAGAGGAGGGCCCCAUCGCUCAGCGAGAGGAGUGCAAUCGCCGAACAAGAUGACCGCAAGCACCGGGACAUGCGAUUCGUUAUUUAAUGGUACCAAUGACCGG